rnacentral:lncRNA from 1 species
CUCAGUCGUUCACUACAGUUCUCAAAUAGAUUACAAUAUAAAUCUCAAAUAUUACAUCAAAUUCUCCAAUAAUUACAUGUCAUAAGCGAAGCGGAAACAAUUCCCAACUAUACAUAAAAUGAUUUCCAAAUCCAAACUGUACAAGAUAUAUGCCAUCCAGUCACGUGAAUAAUUACUACAAGCCUUCCUUCGCCACGAGCCCUGUGGAGGGGAAC